GGAGAAGACACACUCAGAGAAUCAAGACUCUCCUAUGAGCAGGCUGGGUAUGUUUUCAUUUCUGCCAGUCCUCUGGGGAGUGCCUUUUUUAAGGUGCUGAGAAGAACGGUUAUCAGAAGAAGAAACACAAACAGGAAUGGCUUUUCAUCCUGGUUUCAGGAAGAAUAAGAACAAUUCACAGAGCCAAGCCGCAAGGGAGUUGUUCUGAGACUAGAAAUCUAUUCAGAAAGAGACACAGCGAGAGAGGGAACACAAGCAGGGGGAGUGGGAAAGGGAGAAGCAG